rnacentral:rRNA from 1 species
UACGUAGGGUGCAAGCGUUAAUCGGAAUUACUGGGCGUAAAGCGUGCGCAGGCGGUUCGGAAAGAAAGAUGUGAAAUCCCAGAGCUUAACUUUGGAACUGCAUUUUUAACUACCGAGCUAGAGUGUGUCAGAGGGAGGUGGAAUUCCGCGUGUAGCAGUGAAAUGCGUAGAUAUGCGGAGGAACACCGGUGGCGAAGGCGGCUCACUGGCCCGUAACUGACGCUCAGGCGCGAUAGCGUGGGGAUCAAACAGG